rnacentral:rRNA from 1 species
CUCAGGAUGAACGACUGGCGGCGUGCCUAACACAUGCAAGUCGAGCGAUUCUCUUCGGAGAAGAGCGGCGGACGGGUGAGUAACGCGUGGGUAACCUGCCUCAUACACAUGGAUAACAUACCGAAAGGUAUGCUAAUACAGGAUAAUAUAAGAGAUUCACAUGGAUUUCUUAUCAAAGCUCCGGCGGUAUGAGAUGGACCCGCGUCUGAUUAGCUAGUUGGUAAGGUAACGGCUUACCAAGGCGACGAUCAGUAGCCGACCUGAGAGGGUGAUCGGCCACAUUGGAACUGAGACACGGUCCAAACUCCUACGGGAGGCAGCAGUGGGGAAUAUUGCACAAUGGGCGAAAGCCUGAAUACAGCAACGCCGCGUGAGUGAUGAAGGCCUUCGGGUCGUAAAACUCUGUCCUCAAGGAAGAUAAUGACGGUACUUGAGGAGGAAGCCCCGGCUAACUACGUGCCAGCCGCCGC